rnacentral:sRNA from 1 species
AUAUUCUGCCCCUUGGGUAAGGUUGAGAAGCUUCGACUAAGGUUCGACUCGAGCGCCAGCGAGAGAACGUUGCCGCAGGCAACGGCCCGAAGGGCGAGGCGCUUUAGCGCCGAGUAAUCCUUCCCCCACCACCA